UACAGAGGGGGCAAGCGUUGUUCGGAAUUACUGGGCGUAAAGGGCGCGUAGGCGGCCUUCUACGUCGAACGUGAAAUCCCCGGGCUCAACCCGGGAACUGCGUCCGAUACUGGAAGGCUUGAAUCCGGGAGAGGGAUGCGGAAUUCCAGGUGUAGCGGUGAAAUGCGUAGAUAUCUGGAGGAACACCGGUGGCGAAGGCGGCAUCCUGGACCGGUAUUGACGCUGAGGCGCGAAAGCCAGGGGAGCAAACGGG
rnacentral:rRNA from 1 species